UCUACCGUCAAGUCUCAUUUCCCUUCCUCCUCAUAGAGGUAAAAACCCUAAAUCCCUUAAACUUCCAUACUUCUCUCAAAGGCAUUUUCUUGGUUUGGGGAAAAUAUCAAAUUGAAAAACUGCUAUCCAUCUCACCACAAGUACACAAACUGAUACACUGGUACAUCUUGUAAGCUACUCGAAGCAUGAAUGCAAAAAUGGGAAAGAUUUGAAGCUGUAGUUUAAUGUAGUCUUUUCUUUCUUUUACUGUCUGUACUUAGAACAUUCUAUGCGCUGCCCAUGUAAACUCUGGUUAUAUACUGAAUCUCGGUUGUAUAUAUGUUAGCUAGUUGCCUUCACUAGAAUCAGGUAGUUGUUGGUUAUGUAUAACAUGGGCACUAUCCUAUAGCAGUUUAAGUUGUAAACUUCUUCCCCGUAGGCUUUUAGUUUAAAAGGACUAAUAGUGUAGUUGUAACAUUCUGCUA